CUCAUCAGAGCCUCUGGAAGUGGAUUGGUAUCCCCUCUGCUCCCAGGAAUCCAGUAAAAGUAGCAUCUCUUCCUCAAAGAUGAGCCAGCCGUCAUUUGAAGAGGAGGAAAGACUGGAUUGGGGAAGAAUCUGGGGCAAAAUGAAGCCAAAUUGAGAACGAGGAGAAAAGAAGAUGCUAAGGCCGCAGAUAAGGAGUUCCAUCUCCCGGGCUGAUCCUGCUCCUCUGCGAUACGUUCUGCAGAUGGUCCUGUGUGGCCCAGUCUUCCAAAUGCACCUCUUCAGGGAUGCCCAUCCUCAGUUAGAGAAACGGGCUGUAAGUCAGAGAACUUGAACUUGACCCAGAGCAUGGCCAGACACAUCAGCUAUUCCCUACAUCACGUUUCUUUAAAAUAAAGCCUGCCAGCACAAGAGGCUUGUAGAGUUUGCCAUAGUACAUGUACCCAGGGCUCUGCUUUUGUUCACGAUUCUGUAUUCAUAUUGUGAUUUUAAUAGCUGCUAAUCAAAGAAAGAGGCUUUCUAGUCAUUGGUAAGCUGGCAAAGAGCAAAACAACCAAAUGCCUGACAAGCAGCUGGUAAGGAGGUUGUGCUGGAGAAAUAAACAUGCAAUUGUCUUCCCUUCCACAA
rnacentral:lncRNA from 1 species